AGCUUUGCGCAGUGGCAGUAUCGUAGCCAAUGAGGUUUAUCCGAGGCGCGAUUAUUGCUAAUUGAAAAAAAUCUAAGGGA
rnacentral:snRNA from 12 species